rnacentral:rRNA from 1 species
GAUGAACGCUGGCGGCGUGCCUAAUACAUGCAAGUCGAGCGAACAGACGAGGAGCUUGCUCCUCUGACGUUAGCGGCGGACGGGUGAGUAACACGUGGAUAACCUACCUAUAAGACUGGGAUAACUUCGGGAAACCGGAGCUAAUACCGGAUAAUAUAUUGAACCGCAUGGUUCAAUAGUGAAAGACGGUUUUGCUGUCACUUAUAGAUGGAUCCGCGCCGCAUUAGCUAGUUGGUAAGGUAACGGCUUACCAAGGCAACGAUGCGUAGCCGACCUGAGAGGGUGGACGGCCACACUGGAACUGAGAAACGGUCCAGACUCCGACGGGAAGCAGCAGUAGGGAAUCUUCCGCAAUGGGCGAAAGCCUGACGGAGCAACGCCGCGGGAGUGAUGAAGGUCUUCGGAUCGUAAAACUCUGUUAUUAGGGAAGAACAAAUGUGUAAGUAACUAUGCACGUCUUGACGGUACCUAAUCAGAAAGCCACGGCUAACUACGUG